rnacentral:rRNA from 1 species
GACGAAGGGGGCUAGCGUUGUUCGGAAUUACUGGGCGUAAAGCGCGUGUAGGCGGUUGUCCAAGUUGGAUGUGAAAGCCUUGAGCUCAACUCAAGAAAUGCAUUCAGGACUGGAUGACUAGAGGACCGGAGAGGAUAGUGGAAUUCCCAGUGUAGUGGUGAAAUACGUAGAGAUUGGGAAGAACACCAGUGGCGAAGGCGGCUAUCUGGACGGUUUCUGACGCUAAGACGCGAAAGCGUGGGGAGCGAACAGG